rnacentral:rRNA from 1 species
GAUGAACGCUGGCGGCGUGCCUAAUACAUGCAAGUCGAGCGAACAGAUGAGGAGCUUGCUCCUCUGACGUUAGCGGCGGACGGGUGAGUAACACGUGGAUAACCUACCUAUAAGACUGGGAUAACUUCGGGAAACCGGAGCUAAUACCGGAUAAUAUAUUGAACCGCAUGGUUCAAUAGUGAAAGACGGUUUUGCUGUCACUUAUAGAUGGAUCCGCGCCGCAUUAGCUAGUUGGUAAGGUAACGGCUUACCAAGGCAACGAUGCGUAGCCGACCUGAGAGGGGGAUCGGCCACACUGGAACUGAGACCCGGUCCAGACUCCUACGGGAGGCAGCAGUAGGGAAUCUUCCGCAAUGGGCGAAAGCCUGACGGAGCAACGCCGCGUGAGUGAUGAAGGUCUUCGGAUCGUAAAACUCUGUUAUUAGGGAAGAACAAAUGUGUAGGUAACUAUGCACGUCUUGACGGUACCUAAUCAGAAAGCCACGGCUAACUACGUG